CAGAACCCAAGUCUACCAGCCUAGAGA
rnacentral:piRNA from 1 species